rnacentral:rRNA from 1 species
UACGAAGGGGGCUAGCGUUGUUCGGAAUUACUGGGCGUAAAGCGCGCGCAGGCGGCUAUCCAAGUCAGUGGUGAAAGCCCGGAGCUCAACUCCGGAACUGCCAUUGAAACUGUUUAGCUUGAGGACGAGAGAGGUGAGUGGAAUUCCCAGUGUAGAGGUGAAAUUCGUAGAUAUCGGGAGGAACACCAGUGGCGAAGGCGGCACUCUGGGCCGGUACUGACGCUGAGGAGCGAAAGCGUGGGGAGCAAACAGG